rnacentral:rRNA from 1 species
UACGUAGGGUGCAAGCGUUAAUCGGAAUUACUGGGCGUAAAGCGUGCGCAGGCGGUUGUGCAAGACAGAUGUGAAAUCCCCGGGCUCAACCUGGGAACUGCAUUUGUGACUGCACGGCUGGAGUGCGGCAGGAGGGGGAUGGAAUCCGCGUGUAGCAGUGAAAUGCGUAGAUAUGCGGAGGAACACCGAUGGCGAAGGCAAUCCCCUGGGCCUGCACUGACGCUCAUGCACGAAAGCGUGGGGAGCAACAGG